UACGGAGGGUGCAAGCGUUAUCCGGAUUCACUGGGUUUAAAGGGUGCGUAGGCGGUUGUUUAAGUCUGUCGUGAAAUCCCCGGGCUCAACCUGGGAAUGGCGAUGGAAACUGGGCAGCUAGAGUGUGUCAGAGGAUGGUGGAAUUCCCGGUGUAGCGGUGAAAUGCGUAGAGAUCGGGAGGAACAUCAGUGGCGAAGGCGGCCAUCUGGGACAACGCUGACGCUGAAGCACGAAAGCGUGGGGAGCAAACAGG
rnacentral:rRNA from 1 species